rnacentral:RNase_P_RNA from 1 species
GAAGCACGCCAGACCGCCGCUGGUGCAAUUUGGGAAACCAAGCACUGGAGGAACGUCCGGACUGCACAGGACAGCGUAGCAGCUAACGGCUGCCCACCGCAAGGUGAGGAUCAGAGCAACAGAGACGAGUCUGACGGGAGUACCGCAAGGUAAACCAGUCGGGGUGAAACGGGCAAUCUCUACGCGCAGCAAUACCAAGUAGGCCAGCGUUGAUGUGGUUCCGCAGAGCUGGCGGGUAGGUAGCACCGAGCCGGGUGGGCAACCCCCGGCCCAGAGUAAUGGCGGUCACGCUGCGGGUAACCGCAGUGCACAGAAUCCGGCUUAUCGGUGUGCUUCACAC